rnacentral:rRNA from 1 species
AUUGAACGCUGGCGGCAGGCCUAACACAUGCAAGUCGAGCGAGCGGAGGACGCGUGUGUAAUGUCUGGGAAACUGCCUGCUGGAGGGGGAUAACUCCUGGAAACGGUAUCUAAUACCGCAUACCCUCAGAUGUGCCCAGAUGGGAUUAGCUAGAGGGUGGGGUAACGGCUCACCUAGCCGACGAUCCCGAGCUGGUCUGAGAGGAUGACCAGCCAAACUGGAACUGAGACACGGUCCAGACUCCUACGGGAGGCAGCAGUGGGGAAUAUUGCACAAUGGGCGCAAGCCUGAUGCAGCCAUGCCGCGUGUGUGAAGAAGGCCUUCGGGUUGUAAAGUACUUUCAGCGGGGAGGCGUUACCCGCAGAAGAAGCACCGGCUAACUCCGUGCCAGCAGCCGCGGUAAUAC